CAGCCGCCGCGGUAAUACAGAGGGUGCAAGCGUUAAUCGGAUUUACUGGGCGUAAAGGGCGCGUAGGUGGUUAUUUAAGUGAGAUGUGAAAGCCCCGGGCUUAACCUGGGAACUGCAUCUUAUACUGGGUAACUGGAGUGCAGUAGAGGGUAGUGGAAUUUCCGGUGUAGCGGUGAAAUGCGUAGAUAUCGGAAGGAACACCAGUGGCGAAGGCGGCUACCUGGACUGAGACUGACACUGAGGCGCGAGAGCGUGGGGAGCAAACAGGAUUAGAUACCCCGGUAGUCCCUGUCUCUUAUAC
rnacentral:rRNA from 1 species